rnacentral:lncRNA from 1 species
AUUAUGUCAUAAAUCAUCUAAACUUAUUACAAUUAAUCUCAUUUAAUGGCCCAGCUUGAUGGAGUGAGAAGCAAAACAGAAACGAGUACUGGAUCGACAAACUUACUCAUUACAAAGAGUACCGAGAAAGGAUCCAAAAACUUGAAAUUCUUUCCCGGACAGCCUAAUGCAAGUCUAAUUAAGUAGAAAAUUACAAAUUAAGUCCAUAAACUUGUAACAGAAAUAUAAUAAAUUCCAAUGACUAAAAUAAAACAACUAAAUGAAUAAGAAUACUAAAAAUUGAAUCAAAGUUUUGCACGUGCCUUUACAUGCAUUACAAUAUAUCGAACAUGUCAUCUAAGUUUAACGAAUAGAUAUUAUUAAAGGUUCGUGCGUAGUGAGCUUCAUUUCUGAUUAGUAGUCACACCAAAUAAGUUCAUGGAUUGCUAAUGGGCAGCAGCUGUAGGCCGCGUGACACCACCAGCAAAGUGCAUUUCCUUGAUUGAGCAGCCGGAGCCACCACGUCCGGGGAUGUUGGUGCAACUUGAUGGUCCAGAAGGAGGGACAGGACCCUUCUGGAGUGCAUGCAGAAAAAUGCCUCUCUUCUUUAAUCUCGUCUCUUGAUCACUCAAUAAUUGACUACUUUUACCAUGAUGGACACAUAGAAGCAUGGUUAACACUGCCACUACUAACACAAUACAAUUGAGAUGUCUCAUUUUGUACAACGUAAUAGAUUUCUAAGCAACAAUGUGGAGUUUCAUGUAGGGAAAUUGGGUAUUUAUAUGGAGGGUCGUGGAA